rnacentral:tRNA from 1 species
GGGAGAAUAGUUUAACUGGUAAAACUGAUUCUUAAUGUGAGUUCGAAUCUCACUUCUCUCU